CCUACUGGUGACAUCAUUGGGGUAUCUUGCACAAUGGGGGGAACCCUGAUGCAGCGACGCCGCGUGGGUUCCUCCUCUCCUCUUCUCUUCCCUCCCUUUCCUCCUUUCCUCCCCUUCCUUUCCCUUCAGAAGAAGCCCCGGCUAACUACGUGCCAUCAUCCUCUGUAAUACUUAGGGUUCACUCUUUAUCCUUCUUUCCUUUUUGUACAGGUGGCGCAAACGGCGAUGCCAGCAAGGAGUGAAAGCCCGGGGCCCAACCCAGGGACUGCUCUUGGAACUGCGUGGCUGGAGUGCAGGAGGGGCAGGCGGAAUUAAUGGUGUAGCGGUGAAAUGAGUAGAGAUAAGGAGGAACACAGGUGGCGAAGGCGGCCUGAGGGAAUGAAAAUGACGUUGAGGCACGAAAGCGGGGGGAGAAAACAGGAGGAGAGAAAAAGGGAGUC
rnacentral:rRNA from 1 species